rnacentral:rRNA from 1 species
UGGGGAAUAUUGCACAAUGGGCGCAAGCCUGAUGCAGCCAUGCCGCGUGUGUGAAGAAGGCCUUCGGGUUGUAAAGCACUUUCAGCGAGGAGGAAGGUGGUGAGCUUAAUACGCUCAUCAAUUGACGUUACUCGCAGAAGAAGCACCGGCUAACUCCGUGCCAGCAGCCGCGGUAAUACGGAGGGUGCAAGCGUUAAUCGGAAUUACUGGGCGUAAAGCGCACGCAGGCGGUUUGUUAAGUCAGNUGUGAAAUCCCCGGGCUCAACCUGGGAACUGCAUUUGAAACUGGCAAGCUAGAGUCUCGUAGAGGGGGUAGAAUUCCAGGUGUAGCGGUGAAAUGCGUAGAGAUCUGGAGGAAUACCGGUGGCGAAGGCGGCCCCCUGGACGAAGACUGACGCUCAGGUGCGAAAGCGUGGGGCAGCAAACAGGAUUAGAUACCCUGGUAGUCCACGCUGUAAACGAUGUCGAUUUUGGAGGUUGUGCCCUUGAGGCGUGGCUUCCGGAGCUAACGCGUUAAAUCGACCGCCUGGGGAGUACGGCCGCAAGGUUAAAACUCAAAGG